rnacentral:rRNA from 1 species
UACAGAGGUCUCAAGCGUUGUUCGGAUUCAUUGGGCGUAAAGGGUGCGUAGGCGGCGCGGUAAGUCGGGUGUGAAAUCUUGGAGCUUAACUCCGAAACUGCAUUCGAUACUGCCGUGCUUGAGGAGCUGGAGAGGAGACUGGAAUUUACGGUGUAGCGGUGAAAUGCGUAGAUAUCGUAAGGAAGACCAGUGGCGAAGGCGGGUCUCUGGACAGUUCCUGACGCUGAGGCACGAAGGCCAGGGGAGCAAACAGG